rnacentral:rRNA from 1 species
AACGAACGCUGGCGGCGUGCCUAAUACAUGCAAGUCGAACGAGAAAGUGUAGCAAUACAUUAGUAGAGUGGCAGACGGGUGAGUAAUACAUAGAUAAUCUACCUUCUUGAUGGGGAUAACCUUCCGAAAGGAGGGCUAAUACCGAAUGAGACCACAGUUUCUACGGAAACAGGGGUCAAAGAUGGCCUCUACUUGUAAGCUAUCGCAAGAAGAUGAGUUUAUGCACCAUUAGCCUGUUGGUAGGGUAACGGCCUACCAAAGCUAUGAUGGUUAGCUGAUCUGAGAGGUUGAUCAGCCACACUGGAACUGAGACACGGUCCAGACUCCUACGGGAGGCAGCAGUAGGGAAUAUUGCGCAAUGGAGGAAACUCUGACGCAGCGACGCCGCGUGGGUGAUGAAGGUUUUCGGAUCGUAAAGCCCUGUCGGAUGGGAAGAAACACGGAAUGGCUAAUAUCCAUUCCGCUUGACGGUACCAUUAAAGGAAGCACCGGCUAACUACGUGCCAGCAGCCGCGGUAA